rnacentral:rRNA from 1 species
UACGGGGGGGGCAAGCGUUGUUCGGAAUUACUGGGCGUAAAGGGCUCGUAGGCGGCCAACUAAGUCGAACGUGAAAUCCCUCAGCUUAACUGGGGAACUGCGUCCGAUACUGGUUGGCUUGAAUCCGGAAGAGGGAUGCGGAAUUCCAGGUGUAGCGGUGAAAUGCGUAGAUAUCUGGAGGAACACCGGUGGCGAAGGCGGCAUCCUGGGUCGGUAUUGACGCUGAGGAGCGAAAGCCAGGGGAGCAAACGGG